rnacentral:misc_RNA from 1 species
CCGAGUUUACAACUCCCAACCCCUGUGAACAUACCACUUGUUGCCUCGGCGGAUCAGCCCGCUCCCGGUAAAACGGGACGGCCCGCCAGAGGACCCUAAACUCUGUUUCUAUAUGUAACUUCUGAGUAAAACCAUAAAUAAAUCA